ACUAUCCUAUCUAUCUCGACAAAAUAUACGGUGGGACAUUAUUGGUAAGGCAAUUCAAAGCGGGGGAUUGUGGGUAAAGAGCUGAGCAUUAGUGACGAGGAUGACGUGACGUGUUCCUCCCCUCCCCCAGAGCGGCGCGCGUCGUCCAAGAGGCAGGAAGUGUCUGUGACCUUGUGCGUGUGUGCCCGGCGGCGGUGCGUUUCCUUUGUCCCGUGUGCCCGGCGGGGGUGUUUUGCGCGACUCUUUUGUGCGCCCGGCGUUGUGUGUGUGUCUAAGAGGGGUCAUGUAUUUGGUGGAGGCGGCUGCAUCACAACGAUAAAGUGAAGACGAAGAGAAAGAAGAGCGAAGAGGAGGAGGAAAGUUUUGCAUCCUUGGAGGACUCGCCUCCCGUUCGUUUCUCGGAGCCGCUUUUAAUUCCCGCCUUAUCGAGGGUGACCUGCAUCGGGAACACUCCGCCGGGACCCAUCGAGGAGCCGGU